rnacentral:snRNA from 11 species
UUAUCUGAGAGAAGAUCUGGGUAUGAUACCUGUAAUCCCAUUGACCUCCAGGGUUAAUUCAGCUCAUUUGGCUGGCUAAGGGGGUUUCCUCUUGCUUCCACAUCACUACACAUGUGGCCUCCCUGAAGCUAUAAGCAUGGUAGAAGAGAAGGACCAUCCCAGAAAGGGAUAUACCAGUCAUGUGUCUCCCUCAUCUUUUCCACCAAAUCAUAAUCCUCUCUUAUCUUUUUGUAUGGUUGGGGACAUUU